rnacentral:misc_RNA from 1 species
AACGCACCUUGCACUCUUUGGUAUUCCGAAGAGUAUGUCUGUUUGAGUGUCGUGAAUCUCUCAACCCCCCUAUUUUGUAAUGAGAUAGGCUUUGUGGGCUUGGAUUAUGGCUGUCUGCUGGCUAGUAAUAGCCGGCUCAGCUGAAAUACACGAGUUACCCUUGCUAUUCAUAACCUUUGAACGGCUUGACUCGGCGUAAUAAUUAUUUCGCUGAGGACGUUUAAAAAUGUUGCAAUAGAUUAUAGUGGUGCUUCUAAUGCCAUUACAAUUUUGUGUUAGACCUCAAAUCAGAUAGGACUACCCGCUGAACUUAA